UACGUAGGGGGCUAGCGUUGUCCGGAUUUAUUGGGCGUAAAGAGCGUGUAGGCGGCCAUGCAGGUCAGCUGUGAAAACUCGAGGCUCAACCUCGAGACGUCGGUUGAAACCGUAUGGCUAGAGUCCGGAAGAGGAGAGUGGAAUUCCCGGUGUAGCGGUGAAAUGCGCAGAUAUCGGGAAGAACACCUAUGGCGAAGGCAGCUCUCUGGGACGGUACUGACGCUGAGACGCGAAAGCGUGGGGAGCAAACAGG
rnacentral:rRNA from 1 species